GGGUGCGAUCAUACUAGCAUUAAUGCACCAUAUCCCAUCAGAACUCCGUAGUUAAGCGCACUUGGGCUAGAGUAGUACUGGGAUGGGUGACCUCUCGAGAAGUCCUAGUCUUGCACCCU
rnacentral:rRNA from 1 species